rnacentral:rRNA from 1 species
ACACUCCUACGGGAGGCAGCAGUGGGGAAUUUUGGACAAUGGGCGAAAGCCGGAUCCAGCAAUGCCGCGUGAGUGAAGAAGGCCUUCGGGUUGUAAAGCUCUUUUGUCAGGGAAGAAACGGUGAAAGCUAAUAUCUUUUGCUAAUGACGGUACCUGAAGAAUAAGCACCGGCUAACUACGUGCCAGCAGCCGCGGUAAUACGUAGGGUGCAAGCGUUAAUCGGAAUUACUGGGCGUAAAGCGUGCGCAGGCGGUUUUGUAAGUCUGAGGUGAAAUCCCCGGGCUCAACCUGGGAAUUGCAUUGGAGACUGCAAGGCUAGAAUCUGGCAGAGGGGGGUAGAAUUCCACGUGUAGCAGUGAAAUGCGUAGAUAUGUGGAGGAACACCGAUGGCGAAGGCAGCCCCCUGGGUCAAGAUUGACGCUCAUGCACGAAAGCGUGGGGAGCGAACAGGAUUAGAUACCCGUGUAGUCCCAUG